UACCAAAUUUCUCACAUGCAUACAUGCACACACCCACAUACAAAAAAAAUGCCGAGCCAACAUGCCAAUGAUUCCACAGCUCAAGGUAUUGAAGCUGCUCUUUUGUGCAAUAUGAAAAAUAUUGAUUCCAGUGAAAGCAUGAUUCAUUGAUUAGGCUGCAAAAUGAGCAUGUACAAUGUAUUGUCACCUUCAGCAGUUGUCUCCCCUUUAUGUGGUUGUUUCCAUUCAAUCAGCCGUUGUCUCCCCUCUUCAUGUAGUUGUCUCCUGUCUUCAUUCAAUAUGCAUUGUCUUCAUUCUACAAUUAUCUCCCCUUGUUAUGUACAUGUCACCCCUUGUCUUGUA